CACCUGCCAGAGCAGCUGCUGCAGGAGAAGGAAGGCGAGGGCGCUCAAAGUCCACCUUUCCCGAAAUAGACACGCUGUCAGACAUGACAGCACAAACACACAGACACACACAUCAACGCACUCACCCAAAAAUAUUGGAUCAUUUAAGGUUAGACUCGGUUCACCUGCACCAGACAGAAAACAGAUCUCUGGUCAGAGGGGAACCUGAGACGGAGGAUUUAUCACCUUAAUGUGAAACAUUUACUGCAGUGGGAUCUACUUCAAUUCAUAUAAAGUCGCAGGAGAAGCUUCACCCAAAGUCUGAAUGGAUGAAAUCAUCAGAAUACGAGCAGAAUUGAACAACAUGAAAACAGCCUCUCGCUGCAUCAGCUGACCGAUCAGCUGGUUCCCUUCCAAGCUUCCCUUGAGCAAAUCUCUCUCAGGGCUCUGGAUUUAAGCCGCUCCAGCCAGCCGGCACUUCCUGCUUCCUGUGCACGGCGCUGAGCAGCACGCCUCCGCCCCAGCUCCACGUGUUCAUGCUGCAUCUGACCUCAUCGCUGUCACAUGUGUUAUCACUGAGGCUCUGUCCUGAAACGCUGCUGCUCUGGCUGCUCUGCCUCAGGCUUCCCAUGUUUUCACAUGGAGGAGCAGGGAAGUCCCGGAGACAGGUCACAAUACCGAAUAUGACCUUUUUUAUAUCAUCACUGGAAUCGUGGAUUUUUCUAAGACAAAGAAAAGGAAAUGACCUGAAAAUGUUUUCUGGUUUAUUCUGGUAAAAUGACCCAUUUGUCCCAAUCCCUCUGAGACUCUGAGAGUUUAUCUGGUUCACUGACGGAACACGUCUCCCCAGGUUCCAGGAUACUCCAGGAUUUCAUUUGUUGUUCACGUGUGAAAGAUGAACUCCAGAGAAAGUCCUAACCUGAUUGUACAGUCAUUCUCCGGCUUAAAAUGUCUGGUGUUGGCCCAGUGAUACACUGGCAACAUGUCAACUUGUUAACUGGGAUGCGCUCCAGCUCCUCCUGCAACCCUCAAAGGUUCACGGAGGUCGACACACCUGAGGUGGAUCAAAUAAAAAACAAACAGCGUCUCAGGUGACUGGUGUCUUCAGUUUGAAUGCAGGCUUUACGGGACUGAAACGCAAUGGAUUAUGGGAUAUGUUUGCUCCGGGGAGGAACCACCUGCUGGACUUCACAUGCAGCCUCCGAAGGAAGCAGCCAUCCAGACACAUGAGCAGGCUCCUGCACCAGCCAGCGCUCCAGUAACAGAACCAGUCCGUCUGGAGGGGGACCUCCUGGUUGAUCCUCUGGGAGGGGGCCACAGACUCCUCAUCCUACUGGUCCCAGUAGCCAACUGCACAUAGAGCCGUAGAGGCGGUCGACCCUCUGCUGGACUUCUCGUUUCCUCGUUUGUGAGAUGGAGUGACAGUGUGUGUAUAGGAAUGUGUUUCCAGGUGAAAUGACAAACACAAUGCGUCAUGGCGUCGUUUCCCUCCUCUGAUUGGUUCCUGUAUGAACGGCCACAGUUGAAAUAAACAUUCUCACAGUCAGAGACACGUUUGACGUCGUGACAUCACCGCGCGUCGGAGUCCAGAACCCCCGAGGGGCCCUGAACGCAGCACGACACACAGCCAGUGUGACCGAGGCUCCACAGGUGACAGAGACACUGCGGAAUCCUGCACUGCAGCACUGACCUUGAACGCAUCACUGCACUUUCUUAUGUGUAACUUGGCUGAUGACGUGAGAGGAAAGUGACCUUAAACACAACACGUACACACUAAAGUGUAAGGGCGUGUAUAUUGUGUACACAGACACACACAUACAAAGACACACACAGACGGACACACACACGGGUCUUACCGGCUG